ACUACUGAAUAAUGACCACGGAAUUUCUGAAAUGUUUUACUAUUACAAUCUAUAUGAUAUUCCGAAUGUGUUUUAAAUCUAAUUGCAGUAUAAAAUUGGAGCUGCAUAUACUUCGGUACUGUCCUGAACUACGGAUAUUGUAUUAUAGAAAUUUGUGUUGUUAUAAAAAUUUUUAAUUUAUUUAAAAUUAAGGAAUAUAUCUCCCUCAUGAAAGGCUCGGAUUUUUUGUCUUUUUUUCUAUGCUUUCGUCCUUUUUUGGUUUUAUUAGCCCUUCAAUUUUUGAAUAAGUUUUAGAUUUUCAUAUACUGUGGACUCGAGCAUCACUGAAAAGACAUUUAUUGUCAUAAUGCGCGUCUGGUGCAGUUAAAUUGGUACCUUUCACGUUAGUGAACAAUGUAGUCAACUUUGGAUUUACUCAGAUUUCGGCAUAAAUAACGCUAAGAUUUAAAAAAAAA
rnacentral:lncRNA from 1 species